GAUCCUGGCUCACGGAUGAACGCUGGCGGCGUGCUUAACACAUGCAAGUCGAACGAAGCACUUUAUUUGAUUUCCUUCGGGACUGAUUAUUUUGUGACUGAGUGGCGGACGGGUGAGUAACGCGUGGGUAACCUGCCUUGUAUAGGGGGAUAACAGUUGGAAACGGCUGCUAAUACCGCAUAAGCGCACGGCAUCGCAUGAUGCAGUGUGAAAAACUCCGGUGGUAUAAGAUGGACCCGCG
rnacentral:rRNA from 1 species